rnacentral:tRNA from 1 species
GGGUGCGUAGCUCAGCUGGCUAGAGUACUUCCUUGACAUGGAAGGGGUCGAGAGUUCGAGUCUCCCCGCACCCACCA